UACAGAGGGUGCAAGCGUUGUCCGGAUUUAUUGGGCGUAAAGCGUUUCGUAGGUGGUUAGGUAAGUUGUACUUCAAAGCCCAGGGCUCAACCUUGGAAAGGGGUACAAUACUAUCUGGCUUGAAAGGUUUCGGGGUUACCGGAACUCUCGGUGUAGGAGUGAAAUCCGUUGAUAUCGAGAGGAACACCAAGGGCGAAGGCAGGUAACUAGGAAUUCUUUGACACUGAGGAACGACAGCUAGGGGAGCGAA
rnacentral:rRNA from 1 species